AUGGCCCUUUUGCCUCUCUGCUUCCACAGCACACCGCGAGCUCGCGGAGAGGACGACGCAGCCCAAGUUACCAAACCCCUUCCUCCCCAAUCCCCUCCGCCUCCGGCGACACCCCUCUCGCCGCCGCCCGGCGAGAUGUCGUCGGUCUGCCGCGCGCCGCGGGAGACCGACUUCGCGCGCUUCCCGGACUCCGCCCCCAUCGUCAUCGACAACGGGGCCUCCACCUUCCGCAUCGGGUGGGCUGGCGAGGCGGAGCCGCGCGUCUCCUUCCGCAACAUCGUGCAGAGGCCGCGCCACCGCAGCUCAGGUGAAACUGUGACAGUUGUAGGAGACACUGAUCCAGCUCUAAUGAAGUACUUUGACUGCACACGGACAUCAAUUCGCUCAGCCUUCGAUGAUGAUGUCGUCUAUCAGUUCGAGUACAUGGAAUAUAUUCUUGAUUAUGCUUUUGACCGAUUAGGUGCCACAUCAGAGGUGGGCCAUCCCAUUCUUAUGACAGAGUGUGAGUGCAAUCCAUCCUUUUCUCGAGCACGAAUGUCUGAACUUCUUUUCGAGACAUAUGGUGUGCCAUCCGUUGCUUUUGGUAUCGAUGAUGUAUUUAGCUACAAGUACAAUCAGAAGCUUGGAAACUGUGGAGAAGAUGGGUUGGCUAUUUCGUGUGAAUUUGGAACAUGCCACGUUGUUCCAUUCUUAAAAGGGCAGCCUGUGCUGGGGGCAUGCUGCCGAACAAAUGUUGGUGGAUCUCACAUUACUGAUUUCCUGAGGCAGCUCCUCUCUCUUAAAUAUCCCUAUCACGUGGCAAACUUUACAUGGGAAAAGGCUGAAGAGCUGAAGAAGGAACAUUGUUAUAUAGCUGCUGAUUAUAUGUCAGAGUUGCAGAUAUUCAAAAAUAACAAGGAAGAAGCUGAAGAGAAGACUAGGUACUGGCAGCUACCAUGGGUACCCCCACCCAGAGAUGAACCGCCAUCUGAGGAAGAGCUAGCGAGGAAGGCGGCUUAUAAGGAAAAGGCUGGUCAACGAUUGCGAGACAUGGCUGCUGCAAAGAGGUCUCAGAAGAUAGCAGAUCUGGAAGAAAAACUGUCUGGCCUGGAGGAUUUGAUGGAGCACCUUGAUGGAGCUGAUGAAUUGCAAACAACGUCUAUUCUGGGUAGAUCUGGAUACCUUUCCCAGCAGGAAAUUAAGUCUGAUAUUCUGAAAGCAACACAGUCUCUAAGAAAAGCGAAGGGGGAGUCCAAUGGCAAUGAGGAGAACGCAGAUGCUUCAGGAGCUGAUAAGUACCCACUUGUAUCUGUCCCUGAUGACAUGUUGACACCAGAGCAGUUAAAGGAAAAGAAGAAACAGAUACUACUUAAAACUACGACAGAGGGCAAGCUGCGCGCCAAGCAGAGGCGUGCCGAGGAGGCAGCAUUGAGGGAGAAGCAAGAAGAAGAGAGGCGCACGGAGAACCCAGAGUUAUACUUCGACGAGCUCCGUGCCCGAUAUUUAGAACUUUCUGAGAAAGUCGAUCAGAGGAAGCGACAAAAGGUUAACGGCAACAAUAAUUCAUCUGGUGCCGUAGGCCGUGGCGAGCGCCUAAAUGCCGCCCAGAAAGAAAGAAUGCGGUUACUUACCACUGCUGCAUUUGACCGAGGGAAAGGCGAGGACACUUUUGGAAUGAGAGAUGAAGAUUGGUUGGUCUACAAAAAGAUGAGCAAAGAGAAUGAGGAAGAUGAUGAUGGGAAAGAUGAUGAUGAAUCAGAGCUUGCUCGAAUCGCAUCAAAAAUCCAGGAGGUGGAUCCUACAUUUGUGAACAAACAUGACGCUGUUGAACCAGCUCCAGACCCUCAUAAAGUCCGGCCUCUCACCGCAGACGAUUUCAAAAUCGCCAUCGGGAUCGAGCGGUUCCGCUGCCCCGAAGUACUAUUCCAGCCCGGCAUGAUAGGAGUCGACCAGGCCGGCAUCGAUGAGAUGGUCAGCAUCUCCCUCAGGAGGCUACUGGAGGACGAGUCCGUCAAGGAGCGCCUCUGCCAGUCCAUCCUCGUCACAGGUGGCAGCUCCCUGUUCCCCGGGAUGAUCCCUCGGCUCGAAUCCGGGAUCCGGCAGUUCCGGCCCUACCUCGCGCCGCUGAAGCUUGUGAGAGCCGCCGACCCCAUCCUGGACGCGUGGCGGGGCGCUGCCGCCUUUGCGGCUUCCAGCAAGUUUGGGAAGCAGACUUUCACCUUGGCGGAUUACAGAGAGCACGGCGAGAGCCUGUUCCAUCGCUACAAUAUUGUCUACACGUUGUAG
rnacentral:rRNA from 1 species